rnacentral:rRNA from 1 species
CACGUAGUUAGCCGGGGCUUCUUAGUCAGGUACCGUCUGGCGACCCAAAGGUCGCUAUUUCUUCCCUGCUGAUAGGGCUUUACAUACCGAAAUACUUCUUCACUCACGCGGCGUCGCUGCAUCAGGGUUUCCCCCAUUGUGCAAUAUUCCCCACUGCUGCCUCCCGUAGGAGUUUGGGCCGUGUCUCAGUCCCAAUGUGGCCGUUCACCCUCUCAGGCCGGCUACUGAUCGUCGCCUUGGUGAGCCAUUACCCCGCCAACAAGCUAAUCAGACGCGGAACCAUCGUAUACCACCAGAGUUUUUCACACCACUUCAUGCGAAGCUGUGCGCUUAUGCGGUAUUAGCACCUAUUUCUAAGUGUUAUCCCCCAGUAUACGGCAGGUUUUCCACGCGUUACUCACCCGUCCGCCACUAACUCAUAAAUCACUAGGUUUCAAUAUGAGUCCGUUCGACUUGCAUGUGUUAAGCACGCCGCCAGCGUUCAUCCUGAGCCAGGAUCAAACU